AGAAGAUCGUGUGGCUGUUGUUGGAGGACAUUUAAAGGCUGCUCCUAAUCCUUCAUCUGAUAAGGCAUCUCAAGUUCCAACUCGAACCCGUCCACCCAUUACAACUCAUGUCUUAGAUGUUUCUCGGGGUUGUCCAGCCACUGGUGUUGAGGUGCGUUUGGAGAUGUGGAAGGGCAGUCAACCCCGUCCCUUGUUUGAUAAGACAGAUAUUGGUGGUUGGAUAUUUCAGGGGUCUUCGAUUACAGAUGUGGAUGGGCGAAGUGGUCAAUUGAUGAGCAUUGUUAAUGAUGUGAACCCUGGAAUAUACAGAAUAAGUUUCAACACAGGCAAGUACUGUCCAUCUGGGUUCUUUCCAUAUGUUUCUAUUGUGUUUGAAAUCAAAGAAUCACAGAACAGGGAACAUUUUCAUGUUCCUCUGCUGCUUUCACCAUUCUCAUUCAGUACAUACCGUGGCAGCUAGAGCCUUGGUAUGUCAGUUGACAAACCAUGUUUUUUUAGAUGAAACUUUUCCAUUGCGAAUGUAGUAAAUACUCU
rnacentral:misc_RNA from 1 species